rnacentral:rRNA from 1 species
AUGAACGCUGGCGGCGUGCCUCAUACAUGCAAGUCGAGCGAACAGACGAGGAGCUUGCUCCUCUGACGUUAGCGGCGGACGGGUGAGUAACACGUGGAUAACCUACCUAUAAGACUGGGAUAACUUCGGGAAACCGGAGCUAAUACCGGAUAACAUGUUGAACCGCAUGGUUCAACAGUGAAAGACGGUCUUGCUGUCACUUAUAGAUGGAUCCGCGCCGCAUUAGCUAGUUGGUAAGGUAACGGCUUACCAAGGCAACGAUGCGUAGCCGACCUGAGAGGGUGAUCGGCCACACUGGAACUGAGACACGGUCCAGACUCCUACGGGAGGCAGCAGUAGGGAAUCUUCCGCAAUGGGCGAAAGCCUGACGGAGCAACGCCGCGUGAGUGAAGAAGGUCUUCGGAUCGUAAAACUCUGUUAUUAGGGAAGAACAAAUGUGUAAGUAACUAUGCACGUCUUGACGGUACCUAAUCAGAAAGCCACGGCUAACUACGUGC